CCAUGGAAAGUGGGCAAGAGAUGUAUUAGUCCAGAUUUUAAUUCAAAAGUAGUAGCAUCUAGAGUAGGGAAUGUUACGCAUAAUGGUUGUUGAUUCAAAUCAGGGGCAGCAAGCUCUUUCAAAGUUCGAUUUUCAGCCAUGACUUCCUCUUCUUCUAAAUCAGAAUCGCUAGCAAAUAGGAAAUCAAGAGCUAGAUCGUUCACUUCAGAAUUUCUCCGAG
rnacentral:lncRNA from 1 species